rnacentral:rRNA from 1 species
CCCUUAGACGUUCUGGGCCGCACGCGCGCUACACUGACCAGUGCAACAAGCAUCCGUCCUUGGCCGACAGGCCCGGGCAAUCUUUGAACGCUGGUCGUGAUGGGGAUAGACUUUUGCAAUUUUUGGUCUUCAACGAGGAAUUCCUAGUAAACGCAAGUCAUCAACUUGCAUUGAUUACGUCCCUGCCCUUUGUGCACACCGCCCGUCGCACCUACCGAUUGAAUGGUCCGGUGAAGCCUCCGGAUUGGCGCGCACCUCGGUGCCGCCGAGAAGUUGGCUAAACCUUACCAUUUAGAGGAAGGUGAAGUCGUAACA